AAGUAGGGGAUCGCAAGACCUUGCGCUUUUGGAGCGGCCGAUGCCUGAUUAGCUAGUUGGUGGGGUAAUGGCCUACCAAGGCGACGAUCAGUAGUUGGUCUGAGAGGACGACCAGCCACACUGGGACUGAGACACGGCCCAGACUCCUACGGGAGGCAGCAGUGGGGAAUUUUGGACAAUGGGCGAAAGCCUGAUCCAGCAAUGCCGCGUGAGUGAAGAAGGCCUUCGGGUUGUAAAGCUCUUUCAGUCGAGAAGAAAAGGUUGUGACUAAUAAUCACAACUUAUGACGGUACCGACAGAAGAAGCACCGGCUAACUACGUGCCAGCAGCCGCGGUAAUACGUAGGGUGCGAGCGUUAAUCGGAAUUACUGGGCGUAAAGGGUGCGCAGGCGGCUUUGUAAGUCAGAUGUGAAAUCCCCGGGCUUAACCUGGGAAUUGCGUUUGAAACUACAAAGCUAGAGU
rnacentral:rRNA from 1 species